rnacentral:rRNA from 1 species
AUUGAACGCUGGCGGCAGGCCUAACACAUGCAAGUCGAGCGGAUGAAGGGAGCUUGCUCCUGGAUUCAGCGGCGGACGGGUGAGUAAUGCCUAGGAAUCUGCCUGGUAGUGGGGGAUAACGUCCGGAAACGGGCGCUAAUACCGCAUACGUCCUGAGGGAGCAAGUGGGGGAUCUUCGGACCUCACGCUAUCAGAUGAGCCUAGGUCGGAUUAGCUAGUUGGUGGGGUAAAGGCCUACCAAGGCGACGAUCCGUAACUGGUCUGAGAGGAUGAUCAGUCACACUGGAACUGAGACACGGUCCAGACUCCUACGGGAGGCAGCAGUGGGGAAUAUUGGACAAUGGGCGAAAGCCUGAUCCAGCCAUGCCGCGUGUGUGAAGAAGGUCUUCGGAUUGUAAAGCACUUUAAGUUGGGAGGAAGGGCAGUAAGUUAAUACCUUGCUGUCUUGACGUUACCAACAGAAUAAGCACCGGCUAACUUCGUG